UUGGAGGGCAAGUCUGGUGCCAGCAGCCGCGGUAAUUCCAGCUCCAAUAGCGUAUAUUAAAGUUGUUGCAGUUAAAAAGCUCGUAGUUGAAUUUCGGGGUUAGUAGGUUGGUCAUGCCUCCGGUAUGUACUGAUCUCACUGAUUCCUCCUUCCUUAUGAACCGUAAUGCCAUUAAUUUGGUGUUGCGGGGAAUUUGGACUGUUACUUUGAAAAAAUUAGAGUGUUUAAAGCAAGCUAACGCUUGAAUACAUUAGCAUGGAAUAAUGAAAUAGGACGUUCGAUCUUAUUUUGUUGGUUUCUAGGAUUGACGUAAUGAUUAAUAGGGAUAGUUGGGGGCAUUAGUAUUCAAUUGUCAGAGGUGAAAUUCUUGGAUUUAUUGAAGACUAACUACUGCGAAAGCAUUUGCCAAGGAUGUUUUCAUUAAUCAAGAACGAAAGUUAGGGGAUCGAAGACGAUCAGAUACCGUCGUAGUCUUAACCAUAAACUAUGCCGACUAGGGAUCGGAUGAUGUUAAUUCUUUAAUGACUCAUUCGGCGCCUUACGGGAAAC
rnacentral:rRNA from 1 species